GGCAGACAGGCCAGCGGGGUUUUUCCGAGCUCCAACUCCGCCCGAAAAAGCCCAUCCGCACACCUUUCGCUUUUCGCUGUGGCCACCACCGGAAAUGGAAAUUUGUUAACAAUGGCGAGGGGGUUGGGGUUGGUGGCAUGUACAUUAGUAACUGGGAUACCAAAAUCAAUGCCCCAACAGAUGGAUUAGAUACAGACAUCUGACCACGAGCUCAUCCGUUCAACCCCGUCGAAGGCAGAACUCUUGAUAACUGCAAAUUAGUUGCACAUGUUCCACAUGGGCCACAACUCAAAACAAGACGUGUUUGCACUAAUUUGGCCAAAAUCAACAGCUGUGCGUACAUGUGCUGCCAUCUUCUGCUCGCUGUAUACCCAACAGAAGCGGUCCCAAAAAAAUAAAAUAAAAUAAAAGAACGGGGGAACUAGCGAGAUUCUGGGGCGAAAAACGAGAAGGAAAACAGAAAAAUUGCCUAGAAAACUUGUUAUAAUUACACACUGGCACACACACUCUCACGCGUGCUGGAUCGCCGUAUGUGUAUUGACUGCAGGGCAAGGAAUUUGGAAAGGGCGGACGCGGAGAGGGGGGGAGAGUACGAGGGCAUGCAUGAAGAGGCAACAUAUGUUGGACUUUGGAGCAAACUUUUGCGAAUUUUCGGGGCGCCCUUCCACUUUGCCCCUUGUGGCAGCUCCAUAUAUUGGCACCUCCUCAUAUCCUCAUCGCAGGAUUUCGCCGAGUGGAACUUGUGUGUUUUGUGGUUGAGUAGACGCACAGUUUAGGCCCAGAAUGCAACAGCUGCGAGAAUCCCCAUUCCGGAGGACGAAAAUGUCCCGGCCAACUCAUGGUUCGAGUUUUGCCUGUUGCCGAGAGAACCCCAUGACAACUUCCUCACUAAUCUGCCCGAUGACUCACGAUAAGAUAGAUAAUUGCAUGGGGUAAGUCCUCUUAGGGUUGCUAAUUUUGUGGCUUUGGGGAGCUAACUUUGGUACAAAAAAAAAACAAAUCGUAUUUAUAUUACUUUAUUUCAACGAAAAUAUGUUGCAUAUUCAUUCACGAACUGGCAUCAACAAACUGCAAUAAAAAGCAAGGGUUUCCCAGUGUCUGAAAGGAUCCCCGUUAACAAUCGACUACCUGAUUCCAAUACCAUUGUUUACCCCUCUCAGAGUGCCACAAAAGCCCCAUAAUAUCUUUAAAAAAUAAUAAUGACAACAGUUUCAAUGGAAGUCUGGAAACAAUCAGAGCAACCGCCACAUGAUGCCAACUUUUCAGGGACUCUUCGCAGAAAUAAAAACUCGCAUCGAAAGCCGAGGGAAUUGUUAACGAAGGCUUAAAGAGAAUGGGGUAAAUCCUACGAAAAAAAAAAAUAAAGGCACAAACUUUUGGGCCAACUUUUUUUGGUCAAACAAAAAAAGAAAAGAACAGUAACGAAAAAAAAUCUAUGUGGACAGCGCCAAACUGUCGGAAAAUGCCUAAAAAUGGUCCGGGCCAAUGGGAAAAAAUAAAUAUGCCAAUGAAAUGGGCUGUUU